AUCAGAAAUGUGGUUCUCUUACCUCCGUCAGAAUCAUUCCUAUAAACAGCUAAAGAAAAGGCAAACGCACAUUAGCACAAACAAAUAAUAUUUAAACAACACCGCAUUCCACUGCUAACGACGGUUGGUGUUUAUGUCUGGCGUUAAACGAAAGAUAGUCGUUAAUCAGAGGCAAAUAUUCGCUGGCAGGCUACCACUUCGUCAAGAGAAAUUUCAAGAGUAAAUACCUGACGAGUGUAGAUGAUUCGCCGAGUGAACCGAAUUCAAGACCCGCGACAUAAACGGACACUUCGGAGCAUACUUCAUAAACAGAGAGCUCUUGGCACGAAGCUUUGUCAUCGAUUGACGGGCAAGAAAGGGACAGCAAAGUCGACUCAUGUUCAAUAAUAUAUUUCUCUUCUAUCUUUUGAGAAGGAACGCAAUUGUUCUGUGAACUUCAGAUUUGAAUGUUUGAUCUUCCUGGUACGAGAAGGUUUUGUCAUAUGACCUUAAUUGACCAUAGGACGAAGAAAUAACAUACUGUAAUUUUAAUAUCAUAAAUCUGCAUGCAUAAAUUUGAAAUAAUUAAGUUAAAUAUUCAAUUGUUAAAAUUUUCAAACCCACGCUUGUGUCCACGUAUCCAUCACUGACCUGUGAGUGUAUCUAAGUGUCGCGGGGCGCGGGUAAAAAGUCGCGUGUCGCGGUUAAAAUGUCUCGCGUAAAGUCGCGGGUGGGAAAAACACUUUUUUAGCUACUUUUAGCUACUAAGUUCUUCAUUCCCAUUAAAAGAGUUGUACCAAGUAAAUCUUGAAUGGUUAAUGAUGCUUGAAAUGAAAAGCUAACUAUGUUUUAGAUAAUGAUUAGUGAAUAACUUAUGUAUAUUAAUAUUAUAUUUGGAUACAUAAAACAAAGACAUAUUGCCUAUGACAUACUUGGGUGCAAUGCCUAUGCAUUUCGUUUAGUCUUACAAUCAUUAAAAACAGAGCUGCCCGGGUCUUCCACGUGCGUGUCCGCCAUCCGCGUCCGUUUUCUCCAUCCGCCAUCCGUGUCCGCCGUCCGCGUCCGCCGUCCGCGUCCGUGUCCGCCAUCCGCGCACACUUUUUAUCUACACCCGUAAAAGUUGUGUUAAGGCACAUAUUCUCCCACAUUCUUCCGUCAUUAAAAGAAUUAACUCAAGUGUAUGUAAUUAUAAAUGCAUGACUAUUUUCGAGAGAUACUUAUAUGUAAUUAUAACAAUAUUUUUUAUAGUUCCUAGUUCUUUUCCACUUUUGUAAAUUAACUACAUUUGAAAAUGCGUUAAAACUUUAUGAUAUAAAAUUUUUUUAUUAUUUUUUUAUUA